rnacentral:misc_RNA from 1 species
CUGGCUUGUCAUGUUUAUCAGUGGUUUGUUUGUGUUCCAUUUUUUCAGGAAAGAUUAGUAUUUGUAAUGUUCUUGGUAGCUGAGAUUAUAUAGACAUUGUAGAAAUGAUUAGGGACAUCUGAAAAAGUGUUAGAAAGCAUUUGUCAUUAAACAAUCUUAUUCAUAGCAUUGUUGUCUACUGUUCUAUGUGCCGAUGUUGGGAUUUUUCCCCCCUGUCUAAUGAGAUCCUUCAAAUGUAUUAAGAAGAGGACUUUUGCAUCACUAGUAGUUUGAGAAACAAAUAUUUGUGCUCAGCUGGUGGAAGCAUAAAUUACUUAAAUAGGUAUGAGACAAUAAUAAAAAAGGGUAAUAUAUAAUAAAGGCUGCUUAAUUUUACAUCUACCAUUUUUUUCUCCAAUGCUUUCCCUAAAUGGUGCUAAGAAUGUCAACCUUUCUGACAGCCUAAUAGGAGCGCUUUGGUAAAUGAAUUUCAUUCAUGAUAUUGCUACUUGACAUGAACAUGCAGGGAAAUUUGUUUCAUCUUCAAAAAUUUUAAAUUCUACCAUAUAGACUCUGAUAUUUUAACUCUUCCUGUGCAGUGGUAUUGCUGUAUCCAUGGU